UACAGAGGUCUCAAGCGUUGUUCGGAUUCAUUGGGCGUAAAGGGUGCGUAGGUGGUGCUGUAAGUCAGGUGUGAAAUCCCGGGGCUCAACCCCGGAACUGCACUUGAUACUGCAGUGCUCGAGGACUGGAGAGGAGAUCGGAAUUCAUGGUGUAGCAGUGAAAUGCGUAGAUAUCAUGAGGAAGACCAGUGGCGAAGGCGGAUCUCUGGACAGUACCUGACACUGAGGCACGAAGGCCAGGGGAGCAAACGGG
rnacentral:rRNA from 1 species